rnacentral:lncRNA from 1 species
CUUGAAAUGGGCUGAGUCCCUCUUGCUCACCCUUGACUUGGAAAAACCAGUUUCUCUUUUAUUGUCUGUUACUAAUCUCUAUUCUAAAAAUUCAGCUCAAUUCUCAACCAUACUCCAAACUCUCUCUUUUCCAGCUACCUUUACUCCCUCUCCUUCAAUUCCACUUUCCUCUGCUUACUUUUUUUUUUUUUCUGACAGGGUCUCACUUUGUCGCCCGGGCAGGAGUGCAGUGGCUCAAUCUUGGGCUCACUGCAGCCUCAACCUCCCAGAGGCGGGGUUUCACCAUGUUGCCCAGACUGGUCUUGAACUCCUGAGCUUAAGCAAUCCACCUGCCUCGGCCUCCCAAAGUGUUGGGAUCACAGGCGUGAGCCACCGCAUCCGGCCUCAUGUUCUUUUUCAUUAAAGAGAGAAAUCAACUAUUCAGGACCGGCCCCCACCUUUCCUCAGGAGUCAUUUCUGUUCCGCACAGGCCUGCUGAACUGGGUGCUUUAUAUAGGACACUGUCAUCUCUCAAGUACCCAUCUUGGAGGGUACGGACCCCACAUGAGGAAAGGACCAACCACACCGAGCUCAGUUAUGGCACACACAGUGGGACCUAGACAAAGGGAGAGGGUGACCGACAUCCCAACUAGGGUCCCCAGGCAGGUGGCUGGGACACUAUUUGCAAUCAGCAAGGAACCCUGCUGCCCUUAGACUCCCCACAGAGCAAGCAGAACUUGCAGAAUGGGGUAAAAACACUCUAUUAAAGAUUUUUUAAACCUAUUUAUAUUGUAAUAAAGUAAAUGUAAAUAAAAUUUA